rnacentral:rRNA from 1 species
GACGAACGCUGGCGGCGUGCUUAACACAUGCAAGUCGAACGGAAAGGCCCUGCUUUUGUGGGGUGCUCGAGUGGCGAACGGGUGAGUAACACGUGAGUAACCUGCCCUUGACUUUGGGAUAACUUCAGGAAACUGGGGCUAAUACCGGAUAGGAGCUCCUGCUGCAUGGUGGUGGUUGGAAAGUUUCGGCUGUUGGGGAUGGACUCGCGGCUUAUCAGCUUGUUGGUGGGGUAGUGGCUUACCAAGGCUUUGAGGGGUAGCCGGCCUGAGAGGGUGAACGGCCACAUUGGGACUGAGAUACGGCCCAGAAUGCAACGGGAGGCAGCAGGGGGGAAUAUUGCACAAUGGGGGGAAGCCUGAUGCAGCAACGCCGGGUGCGUGAUGACGGCCUUCGGGUGGUAAACCGCUUUCGACUGUGACGAAGCGUGAGUGACGGUAAUGGGUAAAGAAGCACCGGCUAACUACGUG